UGGUUCAAGAACAAUGGACCUUUAUAUGAUUUCACUUCUUACAGUGAGGCAAACUGAGGUUAUAUAUGCUGAAAUUGUUUGUUUAAAGUGACUGUUAUCUAUUGAUUAUUUGUUGGUUUGCAGUGUAAAGCACAGCCGGAGGAGCCACUAUACCAAGGAGGGAUUCUCAAAGAUGAGCCUCCAAUUGUGCGACCGAGCAUUAUUGUGGAAACUCCAACCGGUUUUUAAACUCC